rnacentral:misc_RNA from 1 species
CAACUCUCAAGCACUGCUUGGUCUUGGGCUCCGCCGCUCACCCGGCGGGCCUCAAAAUGAGUGGCGGCGCCAUUGGGCUCUGAGCGUAGUAAAUUUCCUCGCUACGGAGUCCUAGUGACGCUGGCCAUCAACCCCCAACUUUCUAAGU